rnacentral:rRNA from 1 species
GACGAACGCUGGCGGCGUGCCUAAUACAUGCAAGUAGAACGCUGAAGAGAGGAGCUUGCUCUUCUUGGAUGAGUUGCGAACGGGUGAGUAACGCAUAGGUAACCUGCCUUGUAGCGGGGGAUAACUAUUGGAAACGAUAGCUAAUACCGCAUAACAAUAGGUGACACAUGUCAUUUAUUUGAAAGGGGCAAUUGCUCCACUACAAGAUGGACCUGCGUUGUAUUAGCUAGUAGGUGAGGUAACGGCUCACCUAGGCGACGAUACAUAGCCGACCUGAGAGGGUGAUCGGCCACACUGGGACUGAGACACGGCCCAGACUCCUACGGGAGGCAGCAGUAGGGAAUCUUCGGCAAUGGGGGCAACCCUGACCGAGCAACGCCGCGUGAGUGAAGAAGGGUUUCGGAUCGUAAAGCUCGGUUGUAAGUCAAGAACGAGUGUGAGAGUGGAAAGUUCACACUGUGACGGUAGCUUACCAGAAAGGGACGGCUAACUACGUG